UACGUAGGUGGCAAGCGUUGUCCGGAUUUACUGGGCGUAAAGCGCGCGCAGGCGGUUGAUCAAGUCGAAUGUGAAAGCCCCCGGCUCAACUGGGGAAGGUCAUUCGAUACUGCUCGACUUGAAGGCAGGAGAGGGAAGUGGAAUUCCCGGUGUAGUGGUGAAAUGCGUAGAGAUCGGGAGGAACACCAGUGGCGAAGGCGGCUUCCUGGCCUGUUCUUGACGCUGAGGCGCGAAAGCGGGGGGAGCAAACGGG
rnacentral:rRNA from 1 species